ensembl:rRNA 5S_rRNA 5S ribosomal RNA
GACUACCGCCAUACCACCCUGAACGUGCCCCAUCUGGUCUGAUCUCAGAAGCUAAGUAGGAUAGGAACUGGUUAUUACUUGGAUGGGAGACUGCCUCUGAAUACUGUGUGCUGUUGUCU